GAUAUGGCUCAGAACGAACGCUGGCGGCAGGCUUAACACAUGCAAGUUGAACGGGAUUUGUGUGGUGCUUGCACCAUAUAAUGAGAGUAGCGCACUGGUGAGUAACACGUGGGAACGUGCCUUUUAGUGGGGGAUAACAUCUGGAAACGGAUGCUAAUACCGCAUACGCCCUGAGGGGGAAAGAUUUAUUGCUAAGAGGUCGGCCCGCGGUAGAUUAGGCAGUUGGUGGGGUAAAGGCCUACC
rnacentral:rRNA from 1 species